AUGAACAAAAAUCUGUUCACCUCAUUUAUCGCCCCAACAAUCCUAGGGUUACCCACAGCAGCACUAAUCAUCUUGUUCCCCUCCACACUCCUUCCAACCUCCAACUAUCUAGUCAAUAACUGAUUAAUUUCUAUUCAACAAUGACUAGUUCAACUUACCCUAAAACAAAUAAUUAUACGUAACAUUAAAGGACAAGCCCGAUCCCUUAUACUGAUAUCUCUAAUUCUCUUUAUUGCCUUAACCAAUCUCCUUGGACUCCUACCAGACUCAUUUACACCAACUACCCAACCAUCAAUAAAUCUAGCUACAGCAAUCCCCUUAUGAGCAGGCACAGUAAUCACGGGCUUCCGCUUUAAAACUAAAAACUCCUUAGCUCACUUCCUACCACAAGGCACACGCAUACCACUUAUUCCUAUACCAGUAUUCACCGAAACCAUUAGUCUAUUUAUUCAACCAACAGCACUAGCUGUACGUCUAACAGCCAACAUUACAGCCAGUCACUUACUCAUGCGCUUAAUUGGAGGAGCCACACUAGUAUUAUCAACUACUAACCUUCCCACAGCUUCAAUCACCUUUAUUAUUCUAAUUCUAUUAACCAUGCUCCAAUCUGCUGUGGCCCUUAUCCAAGCUUAUGUCUUUACGCUUUUAGUAAGCCUUUAUUUCUAUGACAAUACA
rnacentral:lncRNA from 1 species